rnacentral:rRNA from 1 species
GUGGGGAAUAUUGGACAAUGGGCGAAAGCCUGAUCCAGCCAUGCCGCGUGUGUGAAGAAGGCCUUUUGGUUGUAAAGCACUUUAAGCGAGGAGGAGGCUACCGAGAUUAAUACUCUUGGAUAGUGGACGUUACUCGCAGAAUAAGCACCGGCUAACUCUGUGCCAGCAGCCGCGGUAAUACAGAGGGUGCAAGCGUUAAUCGGAUUUACUGGGCGUAAAGCGCGCGUAGGUGGCCAAUUAAGUCAAAUGUGAAAUCCCCGAGCUUAACUUGGGAAUUGCAUUCGAUACUGGUUGGCUAGAGUAUGGGAGAGGAUGGUAGAAUUCCAGGUGUAGCGGUGAAAUGCGUAGAGAUCUGGAGGAAUACCGAUGGCGAAGGCAGCCAUCUGGCCUAAUACUGACACUGAGGUGCGAAAGCAUGGGGAGCAAACAGGAUUAGAAACCCGGGUAGUCC